rnacentral:misc_RNA from 1 species
GAUGAAGAACGUAGUGAAAUGCGAUAAGUAAUGUGAAUUGCAGAAUUCAGUGAAUCAUCGAAUCUUUGAACGCACAUUGCGCCCCUUGGUAUUCCGAGGGGCAUGCCCGUUCGAGCGUCAUUAUACCCCUCAAGCCUAGCUUGGUGUUGGGGCCUGCUGUUACCGGCAGCCCUUAAAAUCAGUGGCGGUGCCAUCUGGCUCUAAGCGUAGUAAUACUUCUCGCUACAGGGUCCCGGUGGAUGCUUGCCAUCAACCCCUAAUUUUCUAUGGUUGACCUCGGAUCGGGUAGGGAUACCCGCUGAACUUAAGCAUAUCAAUAAGCGGAGGA